AGAUUCAAAGCAGCCAUGUGCCCCCAGUUGUCAUACUUAUGGAAAGAUAACAUUUAAAGCUGUAAACGGCACAAUCAGAGAUAUUAAACAAGACUGUAUUUUAUAUCUCUGGGAAAGCACAGCAUUUCGUAAUGCCAAAAAAAGGCCAGAUCAGCAUGUUCUUUUGAAAGAAAUUGAUGAGACUGAUAGAUGGGAAUUGUUUGAAAAAGUGUUCCCUCAAGGAAGAUUUACCAAUGAAACAGUCCGUACUUUUGAAUGCAGAAAGCUUGAUUACAAAGAUGUAAUACAUGCUCCUUAUGAAGACAACCCAAGUGGAAAACAGGAGGCUGUGGUUAAUGGGUUCAAGUUAGCUAUUACAUUGAAGAAAAAAUCUGUUGGUCUCUAUUUUGAUGAUGCCAGUAAGACCCCUUUUCAUCAUAUAAUAAUAAAUUACGCUGAAAAGUAAAUUGUUUAGCAAAAGCUCAUCUGUAAGUCAGUAGACCACUUUUUCUUAAAGAAAGAAA